rnacentral:rRNA from 1 species
GAUGAACGCUGGCGGCGUGCAUAACACAUGCAAGUUGAACGAAGUUUUGUAGGAGAGUGUUUUCGGACAAAGGAAUAGAAAACUUAGUAGCGGACGGGUGAGUAACGCGUGGGUAACCUACCCUAUACCGGGGGUAACAGUUAGAAAUGACUGCUAAUACCGCAUAAGAUUACAUCUUCGCAUGAAGAAGUAAUAAAACUCCGGUGGUAUAGGAUGGACCUGCGUCUGAUUAGAUAGUUGGUGAGGUAAGGGCUCACCAAGUCGACUAUCAGUAGCCGAUCUGAGAGGAUGAACGGCCACAUUGGGACUGAGACACGGCCCAAACUCCUGCGGGAGGCAGCAGUGGGGAAUAUUGGACAAUGGGGGAACCCGUGAUCCAGCGACGCCGCGUGAGUGAAGAAGU